AGAUUGAACGCUAGCGGGAUGCUUUACACAUGCAAGUCGAACGGCAGCGCGGACUUCGGUCUGGCGGCGAGCGGCGAACGGGUGAGUAAUAUAUCGGAACGUGCCCAGUAGCGGGGGAUAACUACGCGAAAGCGUGGCUAAUACCGCAUACGCCCUACGGGGGAAAGGGGGGGAUUCUUCGGAACCUCUCACUAUUGGAGCGGCCGAUAUCAGAUUAGCUAGUUGGUGAGGUAAAGGCUCGCCAAGGCGACGAUCUGUAGCUGGUUUGAGAGGACGACCAGCCACACUGGGACUGAGACGACGGCCCGGACUCCUACGGGACGGCAGCAGGUGGGGAAUUUGGACAAGUGGGGAAACCCUGGAUCCAGCCAUCCCGCGUGUGCGAGUGAAGGCCUUACGGGUUCGUAAAGGUCUACGUUUUGGUACGAGGAAGUAAACGG
rnacentral:rRNA from 1 species